rnacentral:snRNA from 1 species
UCUUCUGUCUCGGCCUUUUGGCUAAGAUCAAGUGUAGUAUCUUCUGUCUAUAAUUUUUAUUAAACAAGAAGAUAAAAAAAAUAGGAACCAGU